GCCUUCAGUAUUUGCUCUGCGCCUGCAUAUGUAAAUUAACCUGCCAGCUUUGUUGGGUUAAUUUGCAUACCCACUCCUGAUUGGCUGGUGGGUGCCGCAAAGGUACGG